rnacentral:rRNA from 1 species
GAUGAACGCUGGCGGCGUGCCUAAUACAUGCAAGUCGAGCGAACGGACGAGAAGCUUGCUUUUCUGAUGUUAGCGGCGGACGGGUGAGUAACACGUGGAUAACCUACCUAUAAGACUGGGAUCACUUCGGGAAACCGGCGCUAAUACCGGAUAAUCUCUUGAACCGCAUGGUUCAAAAGUGAAAGACGGUCUUGCUGUCACUUCUCGAUGGAUCCGCGCUGCAUUAGCUAGUUGGUAAGGUAACGGCUUACCAAGGCAACGAUGCAUAGCCGACCUGAGAGGGGGGUCGGCCACACGGGAGCGGAGACGCGGUCCAGACUACUACGGGAGGCAGCAGUAGGGAAUCUGACGCAGUGGGCGAGAGCCUGGCGGAGCAGCGCCGCGUGAGUGAUGGAGGUCUUCGGAUCGUAAAACUCUGUUAUUAGGGAAGAACAUAUGUGUAAGUAGCUGUGCACAUCUUGACGGUACCGAAUCAGAAAGCCACGGCUAACUACGUG